rnacentral:rRNA from 1 species
ACGUAGGGGGCAAGCGUUGUUCGGAAUUACUGGGCGUAAAGGGCGCGUAGGCGGCACGGCAAGUCGGGAGUGAAAGGCCUGGGCUCAACCGAGGAACUGCUUUCGAGACUGCCGAGCUAGAGUGCGGAAGGGGCAACUGGAAUUCCCAGUGUAGCGGUGAAAUGCGUAGAUAUUGGGAAGAACACCGGAGGCGAAGGCGGGUUGCUGGGCCGACACUGACGCUGAGGCGCGAAAGCCAGGGGAGCAAACGGGA